rnacentral:lncRNA from 1 species
UGGGUUUUACUCCUUCAGGUGGGUCAACCAAUAUCCACACAUCGUUGACCUUCAUGGACUCCAUUUCGGAUUUCAUAGUCUCUAGCCAUUUCUCAGAGUCAGGUCUCUGUAUUGCAUCCAUGUAGGUGAUCGGAUCCUCAUCGUUUUCAUCAAGUUUGAUAGGAUCGCCGUCCCGAACCAAGAAACCAUAGUAUCUGUCUGGUUGACGUGGUACUCUAC